AAACCAACCAAUCCAAUGCAUUUGACCAUAAUAUAUAUGCGCAAUAAGUUUAUAAGAUACAAUGGUGAGAUCUUUUUACCAGAAUUUUGAUUGUUUCUUAGAAUAACAUGUUCUCUUCUCCGAUGUCAAUAACUCAUAAAAAUAAAUUUCCGAGAUAAAUUAUUGACUUUGUCCUGUUUGACUAUUCUUGAUUUAAGAAA
rnacentral:lncRNA from 1 species